rnacentral:misc_RNA from 1 species
GAUGAAGAACGCAGUGAAAUGCGAUAAGUAAUGUGAAUUGCAGAAUUCAGUGAAUCAUCGAAUCUUUGAACGCACAUUGCGCCCCUUGGUAUUCCGAGGGGCAUGCCUGUUCGAGCGUCAUUAUAACCCCUCAAGCUCAGCUUGGUGUUGGGGCCUGCUGCACUGGCAGCCCUUAAAAUCAGUGGCGGCGCCAUCUGGCUCUAAGCGUAGUAAUUCUUCUCGCUAUGGAGUCCUGGUGGAUGCUUGCCAUCAACCCCCAAUUUUUCUAUGGUUGACCUCGGAUCAGGUAGGGAUACCCGCUGAACUUAAGCAUAUCAAUAAGCGGAA